UACGGGGUGGGCGAGCGUUGCCCGGAAUUACUGGGUUUAAAGGGGGUGUAGGCGGUCCGGAGAGUCAGGUGUGUAAUCCAACCGCUCAACGGUUGGGCUGCACCUGAUACUUCCGGGCUAGAGGGCGGUAGAGGAGAGCGGAACUCCCGGUGUAGCGGUGAAAUGCGCAGAUAUCAGGAGGAACACCGAUGGCGAAGGCAGGUCUCUGGGCAUUAACUGACGCUGAGGAGCGAAAGCAUGGGGAGCAAACAGG
rnacentral:rRNA from 1 species